AGCAUUACAAGUGGACAUGUAGAUUACUUGUUCAUCAACACCCUAUCCAGGUCCAACAAACUUUAUGAGCAUCUAUUUAGAAAAAAAUUGUGUGCGAAAAUUGAUUUCUCAUAUCAGUCAUUGAUUUUGUCAACAACUGAAAGGGAAGACUUCUUUCUGGGAUCAGUUUUUCCUGCGGAGACAAUAUUUAUGGAACCUCUUUAAUCAAGUUGAGAGAGCUGCAAUUGGAGCCACAAGAGCAAGUAAGCAGAGGAGAGGCUCAGCCAUG